rnacentral:misc_RNA from 1 species
UCCCCGUUACCGGGGCAGUCUAAAUAGAAAAAUACAACUAUUUACAAGGGUUGCGCUCGUUGAUGGACUUAACCAAACAUCUCACGACACGAGCUGACGACGGCCAUGCAACACCUGUCACAGGGUUCCAAAAGGCACACUCUACUUUCGUAGUGCUUCCCUGGAUGUCAAGCCCUGGUGAGGUUCUUCGUUUAUCAUCGAAUUAAAGAACACGAUCCACCGCUUGUGCGGGUCCCCGUCAAUUCCUUUAUGUUUUAGUCUUGCGACCGUACUCCACAGGCGGGAUACUAAACGCGUUAGCUUCGCUACUGAACGGGUCGAUACGUCCAACAGCUAGCAUCCAUCGUUUACGGCGUGGACUAC